CUUUGGUGGUGAUGCUGCUGCUUUUUGUGCUGGUUUUGGGGACACUGCAGGUGUUUGUGAAAAUGCCUGAAUGAUGGUGCAACAUAACACUAGCAAGACAAGUGGUAUCCGCCAUCAGUGAUGAGCACACCGAGCUCAUCAAAGCCUGCCACCUCUUCCGGUCAUUUCCUCUUAUGGCUAGUCUUUUCUAAGUGACAGAUCACUGUACAUGAGUCACUGCACCAAGAACAACUCAAGGGUCUCAUUUUCAUAUCAUCAGUGAUUGAUAACAGUGAAAAAAAAUGCACCAGCAAGAUGGUCAGGGCUAAACCAUCUAUACAGAGCAGCAAGAGAUACAUGCAGGAGGUUGGUGGUUUUUCGGGUUUCGAAUCAAAGAGUGCUUCCAUGGAUGGUGUCCUCAACAGGAGCAAUAAGGAAUCUUCUAGCUGCAUUCCAAGCAUUUUUUGAAUGUGGUGGUGACCUUGAGAUGGGCUAGAUUUUAGCGAGAAAUGGUGAAUUAUCUGAAAAUGAGGGGUGGAUUAAUCUCAUUGGAGAUAUAGCUGGCUGCAUAUCUAUAAAACGACCAAAAGAGGUUAUGCCAUAUAUCUAAUUACAUUCCUCUUUAUAAUAUUCAGAUACAUUGCACAGUGAAAAAGAAAUUUCUGAUGUUUAGUAUUAGAAUUUUUUUAUUUAGCUUUAUCAGUUGAUAGUUUUGGAAAUAUAAAUCAAAACCAUUCUACAUGUUCUCUGACAGCUGAAGCUUUUAGGUGGAUUUAGGAUUUCGAAUUGUAUGAUAAACUAUUCUGUCUUUUGGUACAAAAGGGAAGCUGUUGCAGCUGCAUUGUCAGAAUUCGUUCGUUAUAGGUGUAUAUAUAAUGAUAGUUUUAAUAAGUUUUCUCAUGGUGGUGCUGGAAUAUUUUACUUGUCGAUGUUUUCCAGAAUAUUACAUGUGUCUUUUAUUUAUAAACUUCUUUUUAGAUAAUGGGUUCAUCAUCUCAGCAUGCAAUAGAGCGUGGAGAUACAAUAAGAUACAAUAUGAUUAAGGCCCCUGCCCAUGUUCUUUUUUAUUUGGGAUGUAAAUUAUGAUUGUCAGUGACUACAGGUGUUCCAUGCAUUUUUGGCGUCCUAACUUGUAAAGAUAUGGAUCAGGAAAAUUGUCAGAAGCCAAGGCCAGUUGAAAUCCUAUGAAGAUUCAGGAAGCACAAGUAUAUAUGGAUUAUAUUUAUAGGCUUGUUCAUGGUUAGGUUACUAUAGUUAAUACAUUUUUAUGUUGGAUUUCAUUUUGUUUGAUUAUUUUGUGAUCUAGGACAUAGUUGUAUUUAUGAUUCAUUGCAACUUGCUCACAAGUGUAUACUUAAGAGAAAUUUG